AUUGAACGCUGGCGGCAGGCCUAACACAUGCAAGUCGAGCGAGCGGCGGAAGUGCGUGUAACGUCUGGGAAACUGCCUGAUGGAGGGGGAUAACUACUGGAAACGGUAGCUAAUACCGCAUACCAUCCGAUGUUCCCAGAUGGUAUUAGCUAGUGGGUGGGGUAACGGCUCACCUAGGCGACGAUCCCUAGCUGGUCUGAGAGGAUGACCGGCCACACUGGGACUGAGACACGGUCCAGACUCCUACGUGAGGCAGCAGUGGGGAAUAUUGCGCAAUGGGCGCAAGCCGGAUGCAGCCAUGCCGCGUAUAUGAAGAAGGCCUUCGGGUUGUAAAGUACUUUCGGCGGGGAGGCGUUACCCGUAGAAGAAGCACCGGCUAACUCCGUGCAAGCAGACGCGGUAAUAC
rnacentral:rRNA from 1 species